rnacentral:rRNA from 1 species
UUCGUAUGAAGGUGUCCUAGUGGCGAACGGGUGAGUAACACGUAGGUAACCUGCCCCAAAGAGGGGGAUAACCUCGGGAAACUGAGGCUAAUACCCCAUGUGCUCCACGGUAUUAGAUGACCAUGGAGUAAAGGAGUAAUCCGCUUUGGGAGGGGCCUGCGGCCCAUCAGCUAGUUGGUAGGGUAAUGGCCUACCAAGGCUAUGACGGGUAGGGGGCCUGAGAGGGUGGUCCCCCACACUGACACUGAAACACGGGUCAGACACUUACGGGUGGCAGCAGUAGGGAAUAUUGCACAAUGGGCGAAAGCCUGAUGCAGCAACGCCGCGUGCGCGAUGAAGGCCUUCGGGUUGUAAAGCGCUUUUCUGGGGGAAGAGAAAGGACGGUACCCCAGGAAUAAGUCUCGGCUAACUACGUGCCAGCAGCCGCGGUAAAACGUAGGAGGCAAGCGUUAUCCGGAUUUACUGGGCGUAAAGCGUGUGUAGGCGGUAUGGUAAGUCGGACGUGAAAGCUCCUGGCUCAACUGGGAGAGGCCGUUCGAAACUUCCAAACUUGAGGGCAGUAGAGGGAGGUGGAAUUCCGGGUGUAGCGGUGAAAUGCGUAGAUAUCCGGAGGAACACCAGUGGCGAAGGCGGCCUCCUGGACUGUCCCUGACGCUCAGACACGAAAGCUAGGGGAGCAAACGGGAUCAGACACCCCGGUAGUCCUAGCUGUAAACGAUGCAGACUUGGUGUUGG